CUCCCAUUCAUCUACCGCAUCCCUCCUUUCCAUCCCACAUCCACGGAUCCAGCACCACCCGUAUCCUCCGUACACGUCCUCCCCCAUUCACCGCCACCGCGCCCCCUUCUUCGCGCAGCAGGGCAUAGCAGCCGCGAAGGCGCGCCCUCCCCGGCGUGGGCAGGCACAGCAAGGGCGUGACCCGACAGCUCCCCAGCGCGGCAUCCCAUGCCCCACACGCGGCCUCCCGGCGCCCCACUCGCGCGCCCGGCGGCUCCCCGGCGACCCACGCGUGCCCCCCGGCAGCUGCCCGGCGACCACGGCGUGCAAAACCAGCGGCUCCACGGCGCCCGAGUGCUAGUGUGCGUCGACCAGGACGACCAAAGGGGCAAGAAGGAUGCAAGCUGCCUGGAUUUCAACAUCUUCAUCCUAACCAAUAACGAAGUGACCAUGCAGUAGUAGUGGAAAUUCCUGCCUGAAGGCUCGUUGAUAACACCACCUUGCUGAAUGACUGUAGAAUGACAAAUAAACAAAGGUAGCACAUCUUAUGGACAACAAGCCAAUUGAAGUGCUCAGCGAUACUAAUGUUUAGUUAUUUUAGACUCCCUAGAGAUGAUUGUCAUAAAGUUCAAACUUAGUUGUUAUGAGUUAAAUUAGUUCAUUGUUUGAUAAAUGAUUGUGAGCCGUGCCAGGCCAGUUUGUUGUUUCAUAAAAUGUGACAAUGUACAACAGUGAGCUUGCUAAUACAUGAAUGAUCAAUGUUUGUUUAUAUGA